GGUUAAGCGACUAAGCGUACACGGUGGAUGCCCUGGCAGUCAGAGGCGAUGAAGGACGUGCUAAUCUGCGAAAAGCGUCGGUAAGGUGAUAUGAACCGUUAUAGCCGGCGAUGUCCGAAUGGGGAAACCCAGUGCAAUUCGUUGCACUAUCGUUAACUGAAUACAUAGGUUAACGAGGCGAACCGGGGGAACUGAAACAUCUAAGUACCCCGAGGAAAAGAAAUCAACCGAGAUUCCCCCAGUAGCGGCGAGCGAACGGGGAGCAGCCCAGAGUCUGAAUCAGCUUGUGUGUUAGUGGAACGGUCUGGAAAGUCCGACGGUACAGGGUGAUAGUCCCGUACACCAAAAUGCACAGGCUGUGAACUCGAAGAGUAGGGCGGGACACGUGGUAUCCUGUCUGAAUAUGGGGGGACCAUCCUCCAAGGCUAAAUACUCCUGACUGACCGAUAGUGAACCAGUACCGUGAGGGAAAGGCGAAAAGAACCCCGGCGAGGGGAGUGAAAAAGAACCUGAAACCGUGUACGUACAAGCAGUGGGAGCACCUUCGGGUGUGACUGCGUACCUUUUGUAUAAUGGGUCAGCGACUUAUAUUCUGUAGCAAGGUUAACCGUAUAGGGGAGCCGCAGGGAAACCGAGUCUUAACUGGGCGUUAAGUUGCAGGGUAUAGACCCGAAACCCGGUGAUCUAGCCAUGGGCAGGUUGAAGGUUGGGUAACACUAACUGGAGGACCGAACCGACUAAUGUUGAAAAAUUAGCGGAUGACUUGUGGCUGGGGGUGAAAGGCCAAUCAAACCGGGAGAUAGCUGGUUCUCCCCGAAAGCUAUUUAGGUAGCGCCUCGUGAACUCAUCUUCGGGGGUAGAGCACUGUUUCGGCUAGGGGGUCAUCCCGACUUACCAACCCGAUGCAAACUACGAAUACCGAAGAAUGUUAUCACGGGAGACACACGGCGGGUGCUAACGUCCGUCGUGAAGAGGGAAACAACCCAGACCGCCAGCUAAGGUCCCAAAGUCAUGGUUAAGUGGGAAACGAUGUGGGAAGGCACAGACAGCCAGGAUGUUGGCUUAGAAGCAGCCAUCAUUUAAAGAAAGCGUAAUAGCUCACUGGUCGAGUCGGCCUGCGCGGAAGAUGUAACGGGGCUAAACCAUGCACCGAAGCUGCGGCAGCGACACUAUGUGUUGUUGGGUAGGGGAGCGUUCUGUAAGCCUGCGAAGGUGUGCUGUGAGGCAUGCUGGAGGUAUCAGAAGUGCGAAUGCUGACAUAAGUAACGAUAAAGCGGGUGAAAAGCCCGCUCGCCGGAAGACCAAGGGUUCCUGUCCAACGUUAAUCGGGGCAGGGUGAGUCGACCCCUAAGGCGAGGCCGAAAGGCGUAGUCGAUGGGAAACAGGUUAAUAUUCCUGUACUUGGUGUUACUGCGAAGGGGGGACGGAGAAGGCUAUGUUAGCCGGGCGACGGUUGUCCCGGUUUAAGCAUGUAGGCUGGUUGUCCAGGCAAAUCCGGAUAAUCAAGGCUGAGGUGUGAUGACGAGGCACUACGGUGCUGAAGUAACAAAUGCCCUGCUUCCAGGAAAAGCCUCUAAGCAUCAGGUAACAUCAAAUCGUACCCCAAACCGACACAGGUGGUCAGGUAGAGAAUACCAAGGCGCUUGAGAGAACUCGGGUGAAGGAACUAGGCAAAAUGGUGCCGUAACUUCGGGAGAAGGCACGCUGGUGUGUAGGUGAAGUCCCUGCGGAUGGAGCUGAGACCAGUCGAAGAUACCAGCUGGCUGCAACUGUUUAUUAAAAACACAGCACUGUGCAAACACGAAAGUGGACGUAUACGGUGUGACGCCUGCCCGGUGCCGGAAGGUUAAUUGAUGGGGUUAUCCGUAAGGAGAAGCUCUUGAUCGAAGCCCCGGUAAACGGCGGCCGUAACUAUAACGGUCCUAAGGUAGCGAAAUUCCUUGUCGGGUAAGUUCCGACCUGCACGAAUGGCGUAAUGAUGGCCAGGCUGUCUCCACCCGAGACUCAGUGAAAUUGAACUCGCUGUGAAGAUGCAGUGUACCCGCGGCAAGACGGAAAGACCCCGUGAACCUUUACUAUAGCUUGACACUGAACAUUGAGCCUUGAUGUGUAGGAUAGGUGGGAGGCUUUGAAGCGUGGACGCCAGUCUGCGUGGAGCCAACCUUGAAAUACCACCCUUUAAUGUUUGAUGUUCUAACGUUGGCCCCUGACCGGGGUUGCGGACAGUGUCUGGUGGGUAGUUUGACUGGGGCGGUCUCCUCCCAAAGCGUAACGGAGGAGCACGAAGGUUAGCUAAUCCUGGUCGGACAUCAGGAGGUUAGUGCAAUGGCAUAAGCUAGCUUGACUGCGAGCGUGACGGCGCGAGCAGGUGCGAAAGCAGGUCAUAGUGAUCCGGUGGUUCUGAAUGGAAGGGCCAUCGCUCAACGGAUAAAAGGUACUCCGGGGAUAACAGGCUGAUACCGCCCAAGAGUUCAUAUCGACGGCGGUGUUUGGCACCUCGAUGUCGGCUCAUCACAUCCUGGGGCUGAAGUAGGUCCCAAGGGUAUGGCUGUUCGCCAUUUAAAGUGGUACGCGAGCUGGGUUUAGAACGUCGUGAGACAGUUCGGUCCCUAUCUGCCGUGGGCGCUGGAGAAUUGAGGGGGGCUGCUCCUAGUACGAGAGGACCGGAGUGGACGCAUCACUGGUGUUCGGGUUGUCAUGCCAAUGGCACUGCCCGGUAGCUAAAUGCGGAAGAGAUAAGUGCUGAAAGCAUCUAAGCACGAAACUUGCCCCGAGAUGAGUUCUCCCUGAGACUUUAAGUCUCCUGAAGGAACGUUGAAGACGACGACGUUGAUAGGCCGGGUGUGUAAGCGCAGCGAUGCGUUGAGCUAACCGGUACUAAUGAACCGUGAGGCUUAACCUU
rnacentral:rRNA from 1 species